AAAAAGUUGCGGGGGGGGGGGGGCGUCUCAAGGUCUUAAGGUUUUGAUAAAUUUGUGGCUUCAAACGAAAAAAAAAUGCACAAAUUACAAAUGGUCCAUUCUACCUUUCAGAAAAAUUGUUAAAUAUGAUGCACAUGUAACGAGCUUAAGAAAAUCAAAAGUUUUUGUUAUAUUUUAUACUUCAUGCAAAGAUUAACGCAUGUUAAUGCUAAAGGAAGCGGGAGUAAAAUGCUUCUAAUUAGAAGUUUGAGACCUUAUUUGUUACAUGUAUUUUUGGCUUAUUAUUUUUUGAGGACUCAUUACUUCGGUAAUGCUAGAAAAGAAGCAAUCAUGUUUGAUUAUUUUUUUUUUUUCUGUUGUGCAACACCCCAAGAGCAUGGAUAGCAGGCCCAUAGCAUAAAGUAUCCUGAUACCACAAUAGUGUUCUAUUAUGUUCAUGGUGAUGAAACUCUAAAAUAUUGAUCACUGUAAUAUGGUGUUGGCGCCCUCUCUUGGCCAGUCAGAGUUAGUUCACAGGUUUCUUGAUGUUGCUCUUCUCCAUUCUAAAACACGUUUAUUUCCUUUGAUGCAAGCUGAAUAUUUCUAGCCGAGUCUUGAAUGUUUCAGACUUUCCAUAUAACAGACGUUUCCUUAUUGCGGUUUAGCUCGGUAUUGUUUUCGUAAAGUAUGUCAGUGUUAUUGACAGAAUGUGUAUCAAGUGUGGAUAUUCAAGCUGUAUACAUGUAUUUGGCAUUCUAGCAAAUGUAUAUGCUCUUAAACUAAUGUAAAACUUAAAUUACUACACAAUUACGUAUUGAACAAAACUAAUUAAUCACGAGCAGUGAUGUCGGAUAACUAUUUAAAUUAUUUGUAGUUUUUGUUGAACAUUUAUUGAUUAUUCUGGAGCAUACCAUUCAACAAUAACAAUAUAAUUGUAUGAAGUCUCCCACAGAAA